GGCCUCGUAGAUCAGCCGGUAGAGCAUGCGCGUACAACGCGUAGGCGGUGUCCAUGCGUGGGUUCAAACCCCACCGACGCUA
rnacentral:tRNA from 1 species